GAAAGAGCACAAGGGGAAUGCCUUGGCACCGGAAGCCGAAGAAGGACGUGACAAGCUGCGAAAAGCUGCGGGGAAUCGCAAAUAGGUAUCGAUCCGCAGAUAUCCGAAUGGGGAAACCUGGCUGGGAAAAGCCCAGUCGUCCAUAUCUGAAUACAUAGGGUAUGGAAGGGAAACGCCGUGAACUGAAACAUCUAAGUAGCGGCAGGAAGAGAAAGAAAAAUCGAUUUCCUUAGUAGCGGCGAGCGAAGAGGAAAAAGGCCAAACCGACAGACCUAGUCAGUCGGGGUUGCGGACUGCGAACCGUAUUGGCAAUUGAUAGCUGAACUGCUUUGGGAAAGCAGGCCAAAGAGGGUGAAAGCCCCGUAAGCGAAAUCAAGAGCCAGCGAGCAGGAUCCAGAGUACCACGGGACACGAGAAACCCUGUGGGAAGCCGGGGGGACCACCCCCCAAGCCUAAAUACUAACCGGUGACCGAUAGUGAAACAGUACUGUGAAGGAAAGGUGAAAAGGACCCCGGGAGGGGAGUGAAAGAGAACCUGAAACCUUGUGCUUACAAACAGUCAAAGGCCUACGGGCUGAUGGCGUACUUUUUGUAGAACGGUCCGGCGAGUUACUAAUGCCAGCGAGGUUAAGAUGUCAGAAGCAUCGGAGCCGAAGGGAAACCAAGUCUGAAUAGGGCGUAGAGUUGGUAUUAGUAGACCCGAAACCGGGUGACCUAUCCAUGUCCAGGUUGAAGGAACCGUAAAAGGUUUUGGAGGACCGAACACACAUGUGUUGAAAAACGUGGUGAUGAGGUGUGGAUAGCGGAGAAAUUCCAAUCGAACUCGGAGAUAGCUGGUUCUCCUCGAAAUAGCUUUAGGGCUAGCCUCGAGAGGAGUCUAACGGAGGUAAAGCACUGAACUGACGCGGGGCCCAAAAAGGUUACCAACUCAAAUCAAACUAAGAAUGCCGUCAAGAUACCCUCGGGAGUCAGACUACGUGAGAUAAGUUUCGUGGUCAAAAGGGAAAGAGCCCAGACCGACAGCUAAGGUCCCAAAGUGUAUGUUAAGUGGAAAAGGAUGUGGGAUUUCGAAGACAACUAGGAUGUUGGCUUAGAAGCAGCCAUACAUUUAAAGAGUGCGUAAUAGCUCACUAGUCGAGAGAACCUGCGCCGAAAAUAAUCGGGGCUAAAACAUACCACCGAAGCUACGGAUUUGUUACAGAGGUAACAAGUGGUAGAGGAGCAUACUGCAAGGACGAAGCCAAAAACGAGAGUGAUGGUGGACGAAGCAGUAGAGAGAAUGCCGGAAUGAGUAGCGAGAUAUAUGUGAGAACCAUAUAGGCCGAAUAUCUAAGGAUUCCUGAGUAAAGCUAAUCUACUCAGGGUAAGUCGGGACCUAAGGCGAGGACGAGAGUCGUAGUCGAUGGACAACUGGUAGAGAUUCCAGUACUAUGAAUAAUCAGAACUGUGGGGACGCAGGAGGAUAGAUGGACCGCGGAAAGGGAAGACGCGGCCAAAUACAAAGUCAAGGUUGGGAGGCAAAACCACCAAUUGAUGAUGAAGUAUGACGGGGACUGAAAGAAAGUAAGGAAGUCAUCGAAUCCACACUGCCGAGAAAAGCCGCUAUAGCGUUAUUCAUACCCGUACCGUAAACCGACACAGGUAGAUGAGGAGAAAAUCCACAGGCCGACGGGAGAAGUGUUGUUAAGGAACUC
rnacentral:rRNA from 1 species